GACGAACGCUGGCGGCGUGCUUAACACAUGCAAGUCGAACGGAAAGGCCCUGCUUUUGUGGGGUGCUCGAGUGGCGAACGGGUGAGUAACACGUGAGUAACCUGCCCUUGACUUUGGGAUAACUUCAGGAAACUGGGGCUAAUACCGGAUAGGAGCUCCUGCUGCAUGGUGGGGGUUGGAAAGUUUCGGCGGUUGGGGAUGGACUCGCGGCUUAUCAGCUUGUUGGUGGGGUAGUGGCUUACCAAGGCUUUGACGGGUAGCCGGCCUGAGAGGGUGACCGGCCACAUUGGGACUGAGAUACGGCCCAGACUCCUACGGGAGGCAGCAGUGGGGAAUAUUGCACAAUGGGCGGAAGCCUGAUGCAGCAACGCCGCGUGCGGGAUGACGGCCUUCGGGUUGUAAACCGCUUUCGCCUGUGACGAAGCGUGAGUGACGGUAAUGGGUAAAGAAGCACCGGCUAACUACGUGCCAGCAGCCGCGGUGAUACGUAGGGUGCGAGCGUUGUCCGGAUUUAUUGGGCGUAAAGGGCUCGUAGGUGGUUGAUCGCGUCGGAAGUGUAAUCUUGGGGCUUAACCCUGAGCGUGCUUUCGAUACGGGUUGACUUGAGGAAGGUAGGGGAGAAUGGAAUUCCUGGUGGAGCGGUGGAAUGCGCAGAUAUCAGGAGGGACACCAGUGGCGAAGGCGGUUCUCUGGGCCUUUCCUGACGCUGAGGAGCGAAAGCGUGGGGAGCGAACAGGCUUAGAUACCCUGGUAGUCCACGCUGUAAACGGUGGGUACUAGGUGUGGGGUCCAUUCCACGGGUUCCGUGCCGUAGCUAACGCCUUAAGUACCCCGCCUGGGGAGUACGGCCGCAAGGCUAAAACUCAAAGGAAUUGACGGGGCCCCGCACAAGCGGCGGAGCAUGCGGAUUAAUUCGAUGCAACGCGUAGAACCUUACCUGGGUUUGACAUGGAUCGGGAGCGCUCAGAGAUGGGUGUGCCUCUUUUGGGGUCGGUUCACAGGUGGUGCAUGGCUGUCGUCAGCUCGUGUCGUGAGAUGUUGGGUUAAGUCCCGCAACGAGCGCAACCCUUGUUCACUGUUGCCAGCACGUUAUGGUGGGGACUCAGUGGAGACCGCCGGGGUCAACUCGGAGGAAGGUGGGGAUGACGUCAAGUCAUCAUGCCCCUUAUGUCCAGGGCUUCACGCAUGCUACAAUGGCUGGUACAGAGAGUGGCGAGCCUGUGAGGGUGAGCGAAUCUCGGAAAGCCGGUCUCAGUUCGGAUUGGGGUCUGCAACUCGACCUCAUGAAGUCGGAGUCGCUAGUAAUCGCAGAUCAGCAACGCUGCGGUGAAUACGUUCCCGGGGCU
rnacentral:rRNA from 1 species